rfam:Triticum aestivum genome assembly, contig: Triticum_aestivum_CS42_TGACv1_scaffold_407665_5BL
GUACUACUCCCUCCGUUCCAAAUUACUCGUCUCUGAAAUGGAUGUAUCUAGAACUAAAAUACAUCUAGAUACAUCCAUAUGUGCGACAAGUAAUUCGGAACGGAGGGAGUAGGUU